GACGAACCGUGCGAACGUUAUUCGGAAUCACUGGGCUUAAAGGGUGCGUAGGCGGCCAUGUAAGUGAGAUGUGAAAUCCCUCGGCUCAACCGAGGAAGUGCAUUUCAUACUGCAUGGCUUGAGGGAGACAGGGGUGAGCGGAACUGAUGGUGGAGCGGUGAAAUGCGUUGAUAUCAUCAGGAACACCGGUGGCGAAAGCGGCUUACUGGGUCUCUUCUGACGCUGAGGUACGAAAGCUAGGGUAGCGAACGGG
rnacentral:rRNA from 1 species